UACGGAGGAUCCAAGCGUUGUCCGGAUUUACUGGGUUUAAAGGGUGCGUAGGUGGACUUUUAAGUCAGUGGUGAAAGCCUGUAGCUUAACUAUAGAAUUGCCAUUGAAACUGAAAGUCUUGAGUACAGUUGAGGUGAGCGGAAUGUAUCAUGUAGCGGUGAAAUGCUUAGAUAUGAUACAGAACACCGAUUGCGAAAGGCAGC
rnacentral:rRNA from 1 species